rnacentral:rRNA from 1 species
UUAGAGUUUGAUCCUGGCUCAGGACGAACGCUGGCGGCGUGCUUAACACAUGCAAGUCGAACGGAAAGGCCCUGCUUUUGUGGGGUGCUCGAGUGGCGAACGGGCGAGUAACACGUGAGUAACCUGCCCUUGACUUUGGGAUAACUUCAGGAAACUGGGGCUAAUACCGGAUAGGAGCUCCUGCUGCAUGGUGGGGGUUGGAAAGUUUCGGCGGUUGGGGAUGGACUCGCGGCUUAUCAGCUUGUUGGUGGGGUAGUGGCUUACCAAGGCUUUGACGGGUAGCCGGCCUGAGAGGGUGACCGGCCACAUUGGGACUGAGAUACGGCCCAGACUCCUACGGGAGGCAGCAGUGGGGAAUAUUGCACAAUGGGCGGAAGCCUGAUGCAGCAACGCCCGCGUGCCGGGAUGACGGCCUUCGGGUUGUAAACCCGCUUUCGCCUGUGACGAAACCGUGAAGUGACGGUAAUGGGGUAAAAGAAGCACCCGGCUAACUACGUGCC